rnacentral:misc_RNA from 1 species
GUGAAUCAUCAAAUUUUUGAACGCAAAUUGCACUCUCUGGUAUUGCGGAGAGUAUGCCUGUUUGAGGGCCAGAUUAAAUAAAAAUCGGUGUGGUUGCUGCCUUUCGUGGUGACGCACCGGAUUUGGGUCGUAUUGUCUUCGGUUAAGUGUUCUAGAAUUUUGUAUGAUUUUUUUGGAAUGUAUUUAAAUGAUUAUCAGUACGUUAGCGAUUUUGAAUACUAGGAGCGGCCA